rnacentral:lncRNA from 1 species
AUGAAAGCACAAGCCCCGGAGUUUCGGAAGGCGGCGGGAGGGCGGGGGGCCGGGGAGGGGUCGGGGCGCCGCGGAGUCAGCCAAGUGGCCGGCGAGGGGCCGCUGCCCCCCGCGCCCGCCCCGGCGCCCCCACCCGCGCGCGCGCACACACACACACACACACACACACGCGCGCGCACACGCACUCACACGCACUCACACACGCACGCACUCACUCACUCACACUCACGCCGCCGCCUCACCUCUCGCUCCGCCCGGCCGGCCCCUUCCCUGCCCCCGGCGGGACCGGCCUGCUCGCGGCGCUGGAACCACGUAGGAGGCGGCGGCCGCGGGAGUGGCGGAGUCUCCGGCCCGGCCCAGAGUGAGCGAGCAGCGGGGCUCCAGGGCGCAUCCCAAUCCCCGCAGCGCCUCCUCCGCCGCCGCCGCCUCCUCCUUCCCCUCCUCCUGGCUUCAUUCACCCUCCCAGCCGCCGCGCAGCCGCUCACUCCCGGCGCCGCUCCUCCGCUGCCGCCGCGGGCGCUGGCGGGGGCGCCGGCCCGGGCUGGGGCGCUCGCGGGCUCCGGGCUCCGGGCGGCGGCGGCUGCACAUGAUCAGGAAGCGGCCGCACCAACAGGGCGGCGGUGGCGGCGGCGGCGGCGGCGGCGGCGGCGGCGGAGGAGGAGGAGGAGGAGGAGGCGGCAGGGCCGCCGCCGCCGCCGCUCCAGCCGCGCUCCCGGCACCCGCACGUCGGCUCCCCCCGCGCCCACCCCUCCGCGCCCCCCGCGCUCCCACCGCCCGGCGCCCGGCCGCGCGCAGAGUCCCGGGCCGCAGCCACACGCCGGGCGAGGCCGGCCUCCGCGGGGGACCCCCGCCCCGGGCUCAGGGGCCGGGCGGCCCUCGCGGGGGGCGGGGGGGAGGCCCGGCCCCCCUCCGGACCCACUGGCUCCGCCGCCCUCCCGGGGGCCCGGGCUGCGCAGGGGGCGGCGGGCGAGAGGGCAGCGCGACCCCCGGCCGCCCGCCGCCGCCUCCAGGGAGGGGGACGCGGGUCUCCGCACUCGCGGCCGGCCCGGCAGCCCCGCCGCUCCCCCGCCCGCUCCCGCUCCCGCUCCCGCACCCCCAGCCCGGGCGCGCCCCCUCGCCGGGCGGGCGCCCACCGGCCCGGCAGCCCCCCUGCCGUCAGUCCCUGCGCCCCGAGCGGGGGUGUCGGCCCGGGAGGCUGGAGCGGGAGAAGGCGGUAUGUACACACACACACACACACACACACACACACGACACAGCACGACGCGUCGAUUUCCUUCGCUCCUCUUCCAGCUGUUUUCUGUGCCGGCGACUGGGGUUUGGGGUUUGUUUGCUGGUUGUUGCUUUUGCCCCUCUCUGGAGAGCGGGGGUAGGGGCCAAUUUUAA